rnacentral:lncRNA from 1 species
GUUAUUUUGGAAAUUUUCAAACAGAAAACUUCAAAGUGGAAAGCCCCAGGGGCCCUGGUAUGCCACCUCCUGGCUGUGGGAGGUCCCCAUCACCUCCUCUUCAGCAUGGGUCACUAUGAAGCAAGUGCCUGCCUGCAUAGCAUUUCCUCUGUAAAUAUUUCAGCACGUGCCCCUAAAGAGGUGAUCUUGCUGGGUGUGGUGGCACAUGUCUGUAAUCCUAGUGGCUCCGGAGGCUAAGGCAGGAGGACCCAGAGUUCAAAGCCAGCCUCAGUAUGGAAAACCAGCCUCUGCAGGUGACUGAGUUAACUCCCCUGCUGGGCGAUGUGGCAUCAGACAUCCAUGCUGCUAGACUGUCCCGCUCUUCUAGGGUUCGAGUGACUGUCUUCCUACAGUCCCAUGGGUGAAGCUUUGCUCACCUAUUCCUUUGUAAUAUAACCCCUUGCCCUGUUUAGGAUAGAAUCUUCCAUGGAAGUGCCUUGUGUGUGUCCCCUCCUCUUACUGUGGCCUACCCAGGUGUCAGUCAACCUGCUGACAGUGGACAUCAUGAAGAUAGACUCAGCCCCCUGAAACCUGACCCCAUGCCUCAUUUGAAUGGCUUCUCCUCAAUAAAAGGUGUCAGCACAUGCUCUCCCUCUCUUUCUUUCUGCGGACCCUUAAGGUCAGAGGAGCCGUCACAGCUACCCCAGAGAAAAAGGUACUUGUGUCUCUUAUGUGGUUAUUUUGCGCAGCCCAGUUAGCCCAGUUUACCUGGAGUGACCCUUGAGCCUUUUGGUCUCGAGAACAGAAACCCGGCACUCAGCAACUUAGCAAGGCCUUAAGCAACUUAGUGAGACCCUGUAUCUAAAUAAAAUAUAAAGAGGGGCUAGGGAAUGGGAGUGUAUCUCAGUGGUUAAGUGCCCCUGGGUUCAAUGCCUGGUACCAAAAAAGAAAAAAAUAAAUAAAAAAAGAGAGAGAGAAGGUGAUCUUUUGAAAAAGGAUAAUCAGGACACCAGUGUCUCCCCUAAAACAAUUAGCAGUUUCUUAUCAUCAGAUGUUGAGUCAGUGUUGAGAUUUGCUCACUGGUCUCAUUGAGUCUGUUCUGGGAGCAGGUCCACACGAGAGCCACCUGUUAUAUAUGGUCGGUUGGCCCUUAAGGCUCGUGGAUUUGCCUACUUAUUAGGGGGUGGGAGGGAACCCGGGGCUUCUAAAUAGGGGAAGGACUCUACCACUCAGCCCCUCCCCCGCCCAAGGCCCUUUUCAUCUCAAAAGCUCUUCUCUUCCCUCUCCCCGUGGAUCACAUUUGUUGGGAGCAGCUGGUCAUCCCACCAGGCUUCCCAAGGCUGACCUUGCCAGUGGCAUCCUGGGUUUAGCUCAGCCCCUCUCUCCUGUAGACUUCUGGAGUCACAGGCUUGUACCAGUUCCUGCUCCAUCUUUGUCUGGAAUAGUUGGAAGAGUUACAGGUGGCGCCAGGGCCUGGAGGCCCUGCCCUUGCUCUUGUUGUGACUGGUGUCCUCGGUGUACGUCACUUGAAUUUCUUCUUUCAUUUGGAAUUUGCAGGACCCGGUGUGGUGGUGCAGCC